AACAGCGUAAACACAAUGGUUCUAGAAAUGGAUGCCCUGACAGAUGAUUUGCUAAGUCAAAUAAUAUCUUCUAUUAAACAGUACCACAGAUUAACAAAACUGAUCAUAGAGAUUCCCGCAGAAGAAGAACCAAUAAUGAUUCAUUAUUUAGAAAAGCAUAAUGUGACAUAUCCAGAAAUUUUCAUCAACAAAGCAGAAUGGAAAGCUGAAAGAUCAGGGAUGAUGAAUUUUUUGUCUAUAAUUCGCAGAAGUUUGUUUCUCUAGAAACAAAAAAAAAAAAUUACAGUACAUGUUUAGAUAUAUUCUUCCAAAUCUCUCCUUAUCAUCCAAUUACAGAUAAAUGAGAACUAAUAUCUUUAUGGCAUGAAAUUAUUUACCAUACUAUUUCUUAUUCACAUUAUCCACAUUUCAUACACAAUUUCUAUAUUUAGAAUUGAUAAUUAAUAUGCUUGAAUACGAUUAUGCAACCAGAUGUGUGUCAUUGUAGAGAAAAUAAUCACUACAUCUCUAUUAAGGAGUUAAAUUAACUAUUACUCUCUUUGGACUUUCAUUGGCACUUAUUAAACUAUUUCUACAUUCUAGAACAAAAUAUUUACAUCUAACAUAGAUAAUCAAUAGACAUUUCAAUGUAACUAUUUAAAAGUUAAAACAUUUACAUUAUAAAAUUCUAACAUUGCUAUUAUUUUUAGAAGUUGCAAUUUAUGAUUUACAGUUGUGUUUAAAUAUUUAUUUUUAAUGUUUAAUAUUUAAUAAUGAAUGUCUAAAUAGUAAAUGUCUGAAUAUCUACAUUAGGAAAACGUUUGGUGAUCUUACUGGUCUGCCAUAAAGUGUAACCACUGGAGCUAGGCCGUAUUGUGUUACAACAGGUGCUGUACUAGCAAUCGCAGUCUCGGGUUCUGUAACUUGCGUUUCGUAGGAUGUAUCAGAAUUGUCCCAUUCAAAUACAUCUGGAGUCUCGUUUGGUCUGGAAAAUGUCUUUUCUAUUUCUUCUGUUAUGAUCUUGGCGUUGAAGCUUCUGAGAUGACAGUGGCUGGCUUCCAUUGACUUCCAGGAUUCUUUUGCCUAAAGACCUUGUUUCCAGGAUGAAACUGAUGUCUUUCAGUGCGUUUAGCAGUUCUGUCAUAAUAUUUUCUUUGAACAUUUUUUCUCCUUCUCUAUACAUCAGCCAUUUCUUUCUGGUCUGGAUCUUGUGGUCUGAGAUAAGUAUUUGUUGUCGGAAUAUUAGUUCUCAAACGUAUGCCCAUGAGCAGCCUUGCUGGUGAAGGUCUAUCUGGACUUGGGGCAUUUCUGAACUGUAGCAUGGCUAAAUAUGGGUCUUGACCAGAUGUUUUAGCUUCUUUUUUUAAUUCUUCUCGAAGUGCCGCUGGAACCUUUCUUGCUGCAUGUACCACUGGUCUUAUGUUUGGAUCAACUUCUUUCAAGCAUCCAAGGCCAGUAAAAACAUCAGCAUAGUUGUUAAAUGUUUCAUCGUCUAAAAAAUCUACUCUCUGAAUAAGGUUCAUCUGCUGGCAACCUGGUAGACCCAAAAUUGGUUUGGAGUGUGUAUCUAUUACUUGAAACUCUAUCCAUGCAGUUUUUUCUUUUACUGAACAUUUAAUGUGUGUUUUGCCAACAACCUUUAAAUGUUCACCACUGUAUGUAGUAAGUCUUGAUGAUGACUUCUGGAGUUUCUUUCUUCUAAGUUGAUUAAAAAUUCUAUAAGGAAGAAUGUUGACUUGUUCUCUUGUAUCCAAUGUAAAUGUUAUAUGUUUGUUUUCUAGAGUGAUAACUGUAUUCCACUCAUUACAUUGGUUUUUUAAACCUAUACUGCCAAUUAAAGAAGUUUCAGACUUGGUAUCAUCUGUAGCUUCAGUCUUGUAAUUGAUGAAUUGGAUGUCAUUUGAUCUGCAUACAUUAGAAAAAUGGUUCAUUUUGUAGCAUUUGCAACAUAUUUUACCGUAAGCUGGACACUGCUUUGGUAAAUGUUGUCUGCCACAAUAGCCGCAGUUCAAGGUUGAUUUCGUUCUACGAAAGUUGUUUGUAGCUGAAGACACCGCUUGAACGUCACAUUCUUCUUUCAUGACUUUGAGUUGCCAUUCAGUUGCUUCCGCUGCUCGGCAAAUGUGUUCAGCUUUCACAAUGUUUAGAUCAGGUUCUCUUCAAAGUCUUGCUCUUGUGCUGUCAUUUUUUAUACCGCCUACUAUUUGGUCUUUAAUUAGUGAAUCUCUUAGUGACUCAAAUUCACAAGACCUUACCUUGAGUUUGAGGUCGGUCAAAAAGCUGUCAAAGGUUUCUCCUUCAUUUUGACUUCUCUUGAAAAAAAUAUGCCUUACAAUCGUUACAGUAUUGUUCAAACUUGUUUAAAAUGCAAUUCAGUGUAUGAAAAGACUAAUAUUGCAGUAUUCACACUCAUCGUCCGUCCACUGGAAUGUAUUGUAGACUUGGACUGCUUCAUGGCCAAUAACAUGUAGCAACGUCAUGGACUGUACUUCUUUACUUUUAGUAUCAAGUCCACUUGCUAUGGUGUAAAUUUGAAACGACUGUUUAAAACUUCUCCAGUUUUCUGCAACAUUUCCAUUAAAUUCCAGUGGUUGUGGCGGGUGGAGUCGGUCCAUCUGACACCAUGUAAUAGUAGGCUAGUAAAGACUAACAAACACUUUCUUGUCUGUUUAAAUGAUGUUAGAUAAUCCAUAUAUAUAGGCCUAAAAGGAAUUCAAUUAUCCUCCCUAUCUGUUAAUUAGCACAUUCUUUCGACAUGCCAUCAAUGUGGAUUACUGGGUUACAAUAACAGGACGGGGCUGACAAAACCAUCACAUUGACUAUCACAAUUUCGGCUUUAUAGACUUCGUUACAAAAGAAAUACUGAAGUUUUUCAGUUCCUAUCUAAUGUGGCAGGUAGA